rnacentral:tRNA from 173 species
UUGUAGCGGGUAUAGUUUAGUGGUAAA